GAACUUCUGAAUAGCUUUCAGUGCCAAAAUCAAACCUCUGUUCUUCCUGCACUAACUCUACUCGAUGAGAAAAAAAAAACACAACAACAACAAAAAAAAAACAUUGCUGUUGCUGUGUUUCCUGUAUUCUCCCUCACCAAUGCAGUUGCCAUUUCUCUACUUUGCAACUCAUCAACUUUCUCUUCAAGGGCAGGAUGCGGGAAUUUUGAUGGAGACACUCUGUAUCGGUUAUGGAAGUGGCAGUGCACUGAGCAAGUCUCUGGGCUAACACCAGAUAGUACUAAGUCUGUACUCCAACCAUCGGCAGGAGAGAAGUAUCCCGCAGACCAUCACUUGCAUCCAUUCAACUUCAUUUUAAAGCUAUCCUGCCUAUUUUUCUGUGGAAAACUUUUAAAGGGAGACAUUUUAAAUCCGGAUGAAAUCAACUGAAGGUGAAAAGAAAGUGAGCUUGUGGGUAAUAAAGGUGAGCAAUAAAGUGGGCA
rnacentral:lncRNA from 1 species